AGCUUUCUGCAGUGACAGUAUCGUAGCCAAUGAGGCUUAUCCUAGGCGUGAUUAUUGCUAAUUGAAACAUUUGGCUUUCUUUAGCAUUAUGAAGGUCUCACAGGGU
rnacentral:snRNA from 1 species